rnacentral:rRNA from 1 species
GCUAAAAAUUUAGCCCCAACACCAUAAAUACCCCCCCCCCCUUUUUAACCACACAACCGAAGCAUCUUUACAAUCUAGUACAAGUGAUAAAAAAAUUUAUUGGCGCUAUAUCAGUAGUACCGCAAGGGAAUAAUGAAAUAGAAAUGAAAUAAACACUUAAGCAUAAAAAAGUAGAGACAUGCCCUCGUACCUUUUGCAUCAUGGUUCAACUAGUCCUAAUCAAGCAAAAUGACUUUAAGUUUGACACCCCGAAACUAGACGAGCUACUUCGAAGCAGCUUUAUGAGCUAACCCAUCUCUGUUGCAAAAGAGUGGGGAGACUUCCUAGUAGAAGUGACAUACCAAACGAGUCUAGUGAUAGCUGGUUAUCUAGUAAAAGGAUAUAAGUCCAACCUGAAGCAUUUUUUAUGCCAACAAACAAGAUCUUUAGCUUCAGUUACAUUCAAAUAAGGUACAGCCUAUUUGAAACAGGAUACAACCUACACUAACGGGUAAUAUCAAAUCUUUAUGCAUUUAAGUGGGCCUAAAAGCAGCCACCUUUACUAAGAGCGUCAAAGCUUCCUUGCUAAAAAUUUUAUACCAAUAACUAUUUAAACCCCUUUACCCCCACUAGAUAAUUCUAUACAAUUAUAGAACUUAUUAUGUUAAAACUAGUAACAAGAAGUAUAACUUUCUCUUCAAUGCAAGUAUAUGUCAGGAAGGAUUAACCACUGAUCAUUAACAUAUAUGAAACUUAAGCAGCACCACUACAAGAAAACCCUCCUUAACUUUAUGUUAAUCUAACACUAGAGCAUUACAAGAAAGAUUAAAAGAAAAAGAAGGAACUCGGCAAAUAUAAAUCUCGCCUGUUUACCAAAAACAUCGCCUCUUGUCUAUAUAUAAGAGGUCCUGCCUGCCCAGUGACUCAGUUCAACGGCCGCGGUAUCCUAACCGUGCGAAGGUAGCGUAAUCACUUGUUCUUUAAAUGAGGACUAGUAUGAAUGGCGCCACGAAGAUUUUACUGUCUCCUUUUUCUAAUCAGUGAAACUAAUCUCCCCGUGAAGAAGCGGGGAUAAACAUAUAAGACGAGAAGACCCUAUGGAGCUUUAAACAUAGUAACAACUUUUACCUACUACUUACACUUCUGAAUAACCACACCAAGUAACCCUUAUGAUUACAAGUUUUUGGUUGGGGCGACCACGGAGUAGAAAACAACCUCCGAGUAGAACGAAACUUAAUCCUAAGCAAAGAGCUUCAACUCUACGCAACAGCAAACUGACUUCUAUUGACCCAAUAUUUUGAUCAACGAACCAAGUUACCCUAGGGAUAACAGCGCAAUCCACUUUUAGAGCUCCUAUCGACAAGUGGGC